AAAUAAGUGCAUUUUGGAGCAUUUUGGAGCAUUUUUAGGCAUGGAAUGGAUGACAUAUGCUUGGAGCAAAAGGAAUGGACGAAAUUUGAAGUUUGUGCAUCAUCCUCUCCCUAUAAAUAACCAUUUUAGCACACUCAUUUCACCCAACACACACAUUCACCUACCACUACAUCCACUCAUUUCACCCAACACAUUCACCUACCACUACAUCCACUCAUUUCACCCAACACAUCCAUUCUCCAAACAUCCAUCCACUACACCCAUCACAUCCACUCAUUACCAAACACUCAUCCAC
rnacentral:lncRNA from 1 species